UCGACGGAGAAUUUUAUUUCGGUAGAAUUCUUAGUGGCGAACGGGUGAGUCACGCGUAGGCAUCCUGCCCUUUAGACGGGGACAACAUUCCGAAAGGAGUGCUAAUACCGGAUGUGAUCAUCGUGCCGCAUGGCAGGAUGAAGAAAGAUGGCCUCUACAAGUAAGCUAUCGCUAAAGGAUGGGCCUGCGUCUGAUUAGCUAGUUGGUAGUGUAACGGACUACCAAGGCGAUGAUCAGUAGCCGGUCUGAGAGGAUGAACGGCCACAUUGGGACUGAGACACGGCCCAAACUCCUACGGGAGGCAGCAGUGGGGAAUCUUCCGCAAUGGACGAAAGUCUGACGGAGCAACGCCGCGUGAGUGAUGAAGGAUUUCGGUCUGUAAAACUCUGUUGUUUAUGACGAACGUGCAGUGUGUGAACAAUGCAUUGCAAUGACGGUAGUAAACGAGGAAGCCACGGCUAACUACGUGCCAGCAGCCGCGGUAAUACGUAGGUGGCGAGCGUUGUCCGGAAUUAUUGGGCGUAAAGAGCAUGUAGGCGGCUUAAUAAGUCGAGCGUGAAAAUGCGGGGCUCAACCCCGUAUGGCGCUGGAAACUGUUAGGCUUGAGUGCAGGAGAGGAAAGGGGAAUUCCCAGUGUAGCGGUGAAAUGCGUAGAUAUUGGGAGGAACACCAGUGGCGAAGGCGCCUUUCUGGACUGUGUCUGACGCUGAGAUGCGAAAGCCAGGGUAGCGAACGGGAUUAGAUACCCCGGUAGUCCUGGCCGUAAACGAUGGGUACUAGGUGUAGGAGGUAUCG
rnacentral:rRNA from 1 species